CACGUAGGGGGCGAGCGUUGUCCGGAUUUAUUGGGCGUAAAGAGCUCGUAGGCGGCUCAGUAAGUCAGGUGUGAAAACUCCAGGCUCAACCUGGAGACGCCACCUGAUACUGCUGUGGCUAGAGUCCGGUAGGGGAGCAUGGAAUUCCUGGUGUAGCGGUGAAAUGCGUAGAUAUGUGGAGGAACACCGAUGGCGAAGGCAGCCCCCUGGGCUAACACUGACGCUCAUGCACGAAAGCGUGGGGAGCAAACAGG
rnacentral:rRNA from 1 species